AAACCAUGGUGAGGACAUUGGGCUAUCAAAUCAUUGAACCUUUCCAAAUACCUAUACAAGGAUUCUCCCUCUUGCUGAGAAAAUGUGCUAAUCUGCUGUCUAAUAGAU